CAGUCGCCACGGUAAUACGGAGGAUCCAAGCGUUAUCCGGAUUUAUUGGGUUUAAAGGGUGCGUAGGCGGCCUAUUAAGUCAGGGGUGAAAGACGGUAGCUCAACUAUCGCAGUGCCUUUGAUACUGAUGGGCUUGAAUGUACUUGAGGUAGGCGGAAUGUGACAAGUAGCGGUGAAAUGCAUAGAUAUGUCACAGAACACCGAUCGCGAAGGCAGCUUACUAAAGUAUGAUUGACGCUGAGGCACGAAAGCGUAGGGAUCAAACAGGAUUAGAUACCCCAGUAGUCCCUGUCUCUUAUAC
rnacentral:rRNA from 1 species